rnacentral:rRNA from 1 species
UCAGGACGAACGCUGGCGGCGUGCUUAACACAUGCAAGUCNGACGAUUUUUGUGGAUGCNGAUCUUUCNGGAGAAGCGUUCAUGGAGAUAGUGGCGGACGGGUGAGUAACGCGUGAAGUACCUGCCCUGGGGAGGGGGAUACCGUCUGGAAACGGACGUUAAUACCCCGUAAGCCGGGAGGUGAAAGGCCUGUAAGGGCUGCCCUGGGAGGGUUUCGCGUCCUAUCAGCUGGUUGGUGGGGUAACGGCUCACCAAGGCGAAGACGGGUAGCCGGUCUGAGAGGAUGGACGGCCACACUGGAACUGAGACACGGUCCAGACUCCUACGGGAGGCAGCAGUGGGGAAUAUUGGGCAAUGGGCGGAAGCCUGACCCAGCGACGCCGCGUGAGGGACGAAGGCCCUUGGGUUGUAAACCUCUGUUGUACGGGAAGAAGCGAGUGACGGUACCGUACGAGGAAGCCCCGGCAAACUACGUGCCAGCAGCCGCGGUAACACGUAGGGGGCGAGCGUUGUCCGGAAUUACUGGGCGUAAAGGGCACGCAGGCGGAUAUGUGUGUUUGUUGUGAAAUGCCAGGGCUCAACCCUGGAGUUGCGGCAGAAACUGCAUAUCUGGAGUACUGGAGAGGGAAGCGGAAUU